rnacentral:rRNA from 1 species
AUGGAGGAAAGAUCCCCUGCUAUUCAAACAUUGCUAUGCGAUAGUGAUGUGUUCAGACCAUUGCAGCAUCUAGCAAAAUACAACACUUUGCAUGCCUUGAAGCUCUGUCUGAGAACUUUCUCAUUUCCGUUGAAACCAAAGUAUCUACAUCACCUGAGGUACCUUGAUCUCUUAGAAAGUUUUAUAAUAUCACUUUCUGAAGGUAUAAGUAUUCUAUAUAACCUGCAAGUGCUGGACCUUUCCAACUGCCGUUAUCUUGAACGACUUCCAAGGCAAAUGAAGUAUAUGACUUCCCUCUGCCACCUCUACACUCAUGAAUGUCCGAGGUUGAAGAGCAUGCCUCCAGGACUUGAAAAUCUCACUAAGCUGCAGACACUCACAGUUUUGGUAGCAGGAGUUCCUGGCCCUAAUUGCACUGAUGUUGUAGAGCUGCAGCAUUUAAACCUUGGUGGUCAUCUAGAGCUACGCCAGGUAGAGAAUGUUAAAGAAGCAGAGGCAAAAGUGGCGAAUCUUGGAAACAAGAAGGAUCUCAGAGAACUGACAUUAAGAUGGAAUUCUGUUCGUGACAGCAAGGUGCUCGACAAUUUCGAACCACAUGGUGGGCUGCAGGUUCUGAAGGUAUAUUCCUAUGGAGGAGAGUGCAUGGGUAUGCUGCAAAACAUGGUUGAGAUCCAUCUUUUUCAUUGUGAAGGAUUGCAAAUUUUGUUCAGAUGCAGUGCAAUCUUCACUUUUCCAAACCUGAAGGUACUAAUGCUAGAACAUUUGUUGGGUUUUGAAAGAUGGUGGGAAAUAGAUGAGAGGCAAGAAGAACAAACAAUAUUGCCUGUGCUUGAGAAGUUGUUUAUUAGUAAUUGUGGAAAGUUGGUAGCAUUACCUGAAGCACCAUUGCUGCAAGGACCUUGUGGUGAAGGUGGUUAUACAUUGGUACGCUCAGCAUUUCCUGCCCUGAAGGUACUUAAAAUGAAAGAUUGGAGAGCUUUCAGAGAUGGGAUGCAGUCGAAGAGACUCAAGGAGAACAGAUAUUGUCGGUUAAGGACUGCCCACAGCUGA